UCAGUGUAGAGUCCAGACAGUUUAGAUAAGGCAGGGUAAACUGUGGAUGAGGGUGGCUUAGUGACCUCCUGAGAAGCCCGCAGAGCUCUUUGGAAAAGAAAGAUUGUCCUCUUCUGGGAUUAUCCAAUCUAUUGAGAGGAAUUUGUUGCCCAUCUCCGGGACUGGGACAGGAUCAUUGUAGCCCAUUUGUCACAGGCUGGAGACCUCGCUGUCCCCGGAGCCUGUAGCCUUCUACCAUGUGUCUCUGUACUUUGAUCCUGGUGUCGCUUGCAGUUUUCACAGCAGAGGCAAAACACCCUUCCUCACCACCUGUGGUGGACACUGUUCACGGCAAAGUCCUGGGGAAGUAUGUAAGCUUAGAAGGAUUCACACAGCCUGUGGCCGUCUUCCUGGGAGUACCCUUUGCCAAGCCUCCUCAUGGAUCCCUGAGGUUUGCUCCGCCACAGCCAGCAGAUCCCUGGAGCUUCGUGAAGAAUGCCACCUCCUACCCUCCUAUGUGCUCUCAAGAUCCAGAGACAGGGACAAUAGUCAAUGACCUCCUAACCAACAGGAAAGAGAGAAUUCCUCUCCAGUUUUCUGAAGACUGUCUCUACCUAAAUAUUUACACUCCUGCUGACUUGGCAAAGAGUAACAGGCUGCCGGUGAUGGUUUGGAUCCAUGGCGGUGGACUAGUGGUGGGCGGGGCAUCCACUUAUGAUGGACUAGCCCUGUCUACCUAUGAAAACGUGGUGGUGGUGGUCAUUCAGUACCGCCUGGGCAUCUGGGGAUUCUUCAGCACAGGGGAUGAACACAGCCGGGGGAACUGGGGUCACUUGGACCAGGUGGCUGCACUGCGCUGGGUCCAGGACAACAUCGCCAACUUUGGAGGGGAUCCAGGUUCUGUGACCAUCUUCGGCGAGUCAGCAGGAGGUGAAAGUGUCUCUAUUCUUGUGUUGUCUCCCUUGGCCAAGAAUCUCUUCCACAAGGCCAUUUCUGAAAGUGGAGUGGCCCUCAGUGCGGGCCUGGUCAAGAAGAACACCAGGGCCUUGGCUGAGAAAAUUGUUGCUGCAUCUGGUUGUGAAAACACUACCUCAGCUGCCAUGGUUCACUGCCUUCGCCAGAAGACAGAGGAAGAACUCUUGGAAACCACACUGAAAUUGAAUCUUUUUAAGCUGAAUUUACAUGGAGAUUCCAGGCAGAGCUGUCCCUUUAUUCCCACUGUGCUGGAUGGAGUGGUGCUGCCAAAGAUGCCCGAAGAGAUCCUGGCUGAGAAGAGUUUCAACACUGUGCCCUACAUUGUGGGCAUCAACAAGCAAGAGUUUGGCUGGAUUCUGCCAACUAUGAUGAACUAUCCACCCUCUGACAUGAAAGUGGACCGGAUGACAGCCACAUCUCUCUUGAAGAAGUCCUCUUUUAUUCUUAACCUCCCCGAGGAUAAGAUUCCCAUGGCCGUUGAGAAUUAUUUAAGAGACACAGAUGACCCAGGCAGAAAUAAAGACCAACUUCUGGAGUUGAUCGGGGAUGUGGCCUUGGUUGUCCCAUCUGUGAUUGUCUCCCGUGGACAUAGAGAUGCCGGAGCUCCCACCUACAUGUAUGAGUUUCAGUAUCAUCCAAGCUUCUCACCAGAAAUGAGACCCAAUAAUGUGGUAGGAGAUCAUGGAGAUGAAGUCUACUCUGUCUUUGGUGCCCCGAUUUUAAGAGAAGGUGCCUCAGAAGAGGAGAUCAAUCUCAGCAAGAUGGUCAUGAAAUUCUGGGCAAACUUUGCUCAGAAUGGGAAUCCCAAUGGGAAAGGGCUGCCUCAUUGGCCAGAGUAUGACCAAAAGGAAGGGUAUCUGCAGAUUGGUGCCACCACCCAGCAAGCUCAGAGACUGAAAGACAAGGAAGUGGCUUUCUGGACUGAGCUCCUGGCUAAGAAGCCACUCCAGACAGGACAUACUGAGCUGUGAAUGGGAGGCUCCGCCAGCAGCCUCAGAAGGCCAGAGGAGCCCAAAUGAGGCUACUCCAAUGAAGGCUUGGCUGUGAGAACAACACUGGUGCUGCCCAUUCCGCCUCAUUUUGGUGAUCAGAGUAUCAGAGGAGUUACAAUUCUAUUGGCUCCACUUACAAAGUGCCCUGCUGGUCAUGCCAUAAGCUUUGAGGAAGAUGACCUAUUACCUGUAUUGAAAGGGAAACAGAUGAAGAAUGAUGGAACAGGCCUUACCCAAUGAGAAAUGUUCUCAUAAACUGAGACCCUUGAGGUCAGACAAGAGAGGACAUCAGGGUGGCCAUGACCAAAUGUCUGGUACCCCUCCUCACCACCUGUGGUGAACACUGUUAAUGGCAAAGUCCUGGGGAAGUAUGUCAAUUUAGAAGGAUUUGCACAGCCUGUGGCUGUUUUCCUGGGAGUCCCCUUUGCCAAACCUCCUCUUGGCUCCUUGAGGUUUGCACCACCACAGCCUGCAGAUCCCUGGAGCUUCGUGAAGAACACCACCUCC